CCAGGGUUGUCCCUCUCUUCCUUCAUCCACCUUUCCUCAUUACCUAUGCUGGCGACCUAAAUUCAAAGUAUUUUGUAUGUAUGAUCUCUUUUUCUGUUUUGCUUUUCUACUGCAUGUCUAGGGGGGAGGGGCCAGCCUGUCCAGACCCUUAUCCAUUUGCGAACCUGCCAUAUGGAGGAGGCAUCUGAGGGGCUCAGAAAGAAAUUAGUGCAGCUCUCUAUCUGUACAGACUGCAUAACUUUUAAACUCCCGGGGCUGAAAUAAUAACAUGGAGACACACGCACAGGUACAGGAAAUACAGCCAGUCCACAGCCUUUUCAGACUACAGCUGACCGGAAGAAAGCCUUUCGUUCAUUCAUUCGGACAGCCUCGGUAGUACAGCCCUGAAACAGAAGUUGGGCUUUUAAAAAGAAAGAAAGAAAAAAGUCUACACUGGCUGAGAAGAGAUAAAUCGAUACACAGGAGGGAAUAAGAGAAUCGGAUUCAGCGUCUCUAAUGCAGGCAGGCAAAAGGCUAGAAAGGACCCUGGAAACCACAGUUGCCUCAUAUUUAGUUUAUCUCAUCCAUCAUCACAAGAAAAUCUAACGCUAAAAAGAGAAUGGAAUCCCGUGGAGACCUUCAGCCUUUGGUCACAACAGCGUUAAGCCCUUGGUUUCCUUCUCUGAAAUGAGCUACGUCUGUGUUCCCGGUAGUGCCCUGGAUAAUGGUGAACGCCAGUGAACUUUCUCUGAGUUCACCAAACUGCACUGAAUUAAGAGAGGUGGAAGAGCCCCGGUUGGCAGUGGUUCCUUCAGAAACACAGGUAAAGCAGCCUGGAACUCAGCACUGGCAUCAGACUGUUAAAGAUAGUCUAAUUGUGUUGCUGUGUAUUGUUGUUGUUGUGAAAAGGUCUCUUAUGUAAUAAAACCUGGCAUAGAACUUGCUGUGAAGACCUGUCUGACCUCAGACUUGUAGCAAUCCUCCUGUGUCUGCCUGGCAAGUGCUGGGGUUACAGCAAUAGGCCACCGCAUUCUGUUGUCUCAAUUUUGUUCUUUCUCUCUCAAGGUGCAGUGGGUUGCACCCAGGGCUUUACCCGUGGUAACAUCCCCAGCCCACAUAGUGUCAGAAUUGAAUUAGAAUACUUAGCCUGCCAGUGUACCCUAUAGACUGGAGGCUUGACAGGUUACUGAAUACUUAGGAGGAAUCCCCACGCUUUGAUGACCAGAGGUCACAAAAGUUUUAUAUUUGUGAGACUCUAGGAGACUGUGAUGUUUCUUCCUAUACCCUUAGAACUUCACCAUGUUCACUUCCACGCCUGCUCACAGCUGUACAAUUCUUAUUAUUCCAUGUAACUGAUACAUUGUUAAGGUUAUUUUUAUAAAUUAUGCUCUCGGCUGACAUUUUGUUAAGACCCACAAUAAAUGGCAAUGUGAAAGUGA